rnacentral:ncRNA from 1 species
CUCUGCGUGACUGGCGUAGAGUGGAUUACCACUGGGAAGCGCAAUUGAUAAAAAGGAAAAGUCGAACGCCUGGGCUG